UACGUAGGGCCCAAACGUUAAGCGAAAUUACUGGGCGUAAAGGGUCCGCAGGCGGUUUAGAAAGGGAGUUGUGAAAUUUCACGGCUUAACCGUGGAACUGCCUUUCUAACUGCUGAACUUGAGGGAGGGAGAGGGCGGCGGAAUUCCCGGUGUAGCAGUGAAAUGCGUAGAUAUGCGGAGGAACACCAGUGGCGAAGGCGGCCCACUGGGAAGGUCCUGACGCUGAUGCACGAAAGCUUGGGGAGAAAACCGG
rnacentral:rRNA from 1 species